GGGCAGUAACUAUACUGCAGGGAAUCCAAUGAGAAAACAAAAACUGACACACUCAUUUUAUGCUGCAGCAUAUAACAAUGGCUCAGAACCCAGUAGUUUAUGAAUGAAAUAGAGAUACUUUAUUUAUUACACAGGCACUUGGAUAUUCACAUGCCCAACACAUCUGAUACACUUAAACACCUAUGGAGACAGGAAUGGAAAACUUCUGCAUGUAGACCAAGAGAGAACUUUCACUAUGGAAAGGUGAAUGAAUGCAUUAACAAUUUUUCCUUUACUAUCCUCUAAGAAUUUCCAAAAGUUACACUUCAAAUCAUAUGCAACAAAAAAAACUGAUCUACAUUUCAAGUGGUAGGCUAAGGUGAAUUGUGCAAUUGAAACUUUUAUCACAAUGCAACAUAUUUAUAGUCAUGCUUGAACAGAUUAGGUUAGUAGCAUGCAUUCCAUUCUGCAAUAUGAAUACUGUUAAUCUAUUUCCCAACAAAAGUCAAAAGAUCAAAAGAUGCCCAGUGUGUAGAAAAAUACAAAUCACUGUAGUCAAUUUAUUACGAGACUGAUUUGGGGACUAGAUGGUGACGAUGACGCCCUAAGAUGCCAUGCCCACAAAAGCACAUUACAAAGGGGAUGAACAUUUUUAUCAGACAAUCUCUAAAAAUUAAAGAUGCGGGCUUUAAACUGGGGGAUGUUCUCGCUGUGUACUUUGAACACGGCCUUUCUGCUCACCUCCGUCUGGCUGGACCGGUCCAUCGGACAGCGCCUUCCUGAGGGCUAGCUGGCUUUGGUCUUGGGUACCAUUGGCUGCUGGAGGCAGAUUGUCAGACUGAGUUCUCUGAAUGGGAAGGACUCCUGCUAUGCUGUGCCUGUGCUGCUUCCUGGCACGAUUAGACUGCCCGCUCUUAGGUGCUGCACUGGCAGUGUGGGUGAGAUGGAAACCCAGAGUAUGCACCCUUGGACGGACCCGGCCUCGUGUGAUUCAUGCAAACAGAAGUGUUCUCUUGCUCUGCUAGGUGUGUUUUCCAAUGCCAAGGACACCACAUGCAUAGCACUAAAGGACCCUAAAACUGGCUGUUUCUUCGAAACCAUGAUGGGAGUGGGGCGCAAGACAACAAUCUCUCCCUUGCCUGGCUGAGGCCGGGAGUCACAGCACCCACAGCUGGCGACUCUGUGGACUUGGGUUGUUACAGUUGACUCAACUGUUCACAAUGGUACACAGCCGCUAACGCUGGUGAACAGUGCACUUUGAUUGACUGACAGCUACUAGACACAGCACAUCUUGAAUUUUAAAGUAUUUCAAUGGUUAGGGAAAAAAUAAGCCUUAAAUUCUCUGUGAUGGCACACAAAGGGUUAUCCAAGAGGACGGAACCGGCUGUGCUCCUUGGUGAAGCUAGCAGCCUCAUCCCAUAGACUGCUUCGUAGAUGAACGUGUGUUUUGGAAGAAUACAGUGGUACCGCACUUCAUGGACGCUUUUGCUUGUGAACAAUUUGGUUGGCAAACAAGAGCAUUUAGCAAAAUCUUGGUUUUGCUUGCCAACUCUGCAUCGGGCGAUAGACAUGAACGCGGCCAUCUUUCCUACACAAACACAAACGUGGCCACCUUUUCCACAACGGCGGAAAAAUUUCAGUUCAUGAACCGAGGUACCACUGUGGAUAAAAUGUCACUUUCUUCACAGCUUUCUCAGAAGACUAGGAAGUUUCUCGCCUCUCACAUGCACAAUUUCUCACAUGGUCUUAAGCAUCAGCUUGAAAUAGCUUUUUCCCUCAGCUGUAGAAAGUGGCUGCUGGUCUCAUAACUGUUCUACUUAAAAGUUUUGAAUCUUUUCAGGUGCGAGAAUGUCAUUGUGACUCUCCUCCCAAUAAGUGUGUGCUUUCUUUUUUUUUUUUUUUUUUUUUUUUUUUUUUUUUGUGCAAUGCCUGGAAAACUGGCAGCCCCUUGUGCUUAUAAUCCCUGUAAUCGAAAGGGUACUGAGGCACACAUAGAAGGACACACAACAUUGCUUGGCCUGCGAACGUCACGGACAUGGCUGCUAGGUACCAUGAACCGGUUGGACGGAGGGCGGAGACAGAGGAGAAACAGCCAGUUUUACUGCAGUCUAUGUGAAUUAAAAAAAAUAAGAAAUGGAAGAAAACAAGCACGGAAGAGCCUGUGUAUGGGUCGCUGCUGGUUCACACGGACAAGACAGGGCGGGGCGGGUGCGGACAGAAGCGGGCGGGAGGGCCAUGCUGCUAUCUGCGCCUUUUACUUGGGGGCGCGCGCUGCUGCGCGGCCUCAGCGGCGGCGAUGGCGUGGCCCGCGUCCUCCAGGUGCUGCGCCACGCUGCCGCGGCUCUGGCUGCGCGAAGGGCCGUGCGAGCGUAGGUGGCCUUCGGACGACGACUUGGAGCUGCCCGGGCUGCUGUGCGACUUCUCCAUGGUGGGCACCUGCAUGUCUGCUGCGGGAGGGUGGACAGUCAGGGCGUGGUCACCAUGGAGACGCGGGGCCUGGUUCCCCUCCCCCGCACGCCACGCCGG
ensembl:lncRNA